rnacentral:rRNA from 1 species
UACGUAGGGUGCAAGCGUUGUCCGGAAUUAUUGGGCGUAAAGAGCUUGUAGGCGGUCUGUCGCGUCGGAUGUGAAAACCCAGGGCUCAACCCUGGGCCUGCAUUCGAUACGGGCAGACUAGAGUUCGGUAGGGGAGACUGGAAUUCCUGGUGUAGCGGUGAAAUGCGCAGAUAUCAGGAGGAACACCGGUGGCGAAGGCGGGUCUCUGGGCCGAAACUGACGCUGAGGAGCGAAAGCGUGGGGAGCAAACAGG